rnacentral:rRNA from 1 species
GACGAACGCUGGCGGCGUGCUUAACACAUGCAAGUCGAACGGAAAGGCCCCUUCGGGGGUACUCGAGUGGCGAACGGGUGAGUAACACGUGAGUAACCUGCCCUUGACUUCGGGAUAACUUCAGGAAACUGGGGCUAAUACCGGAUAGGAAUCCUUGCUGCAUGGUGGGGGUUGGAAAGCUUCGGCGGUUUUGGAUGGACUCGCGGCUUAUCAGCUUGUUGGUGGGGUAGUGGCUUACCAAGGCUUUGACGGGUAGCCGGCCUGAGAGGGCGACCGGCCACAUUGGGACUGAGAUACGGCCCAGACUCCUACGGGAGGCAGCAGUGGGGAAUAUUGCACAAUGGGCGGAAGCCUGAUGCAGCAACGCCGCGUGCGGGAGGACGGCCUUCGGGUUGGAAACCGCUUUCAGCAGGGGCGAAGCUUGUGGUGACGGUACCUGCAGAAGAAGCACCGGCUAACUACGUG